UCAAACUUGGUCAUUUAGAGGAAGUAAAAGUCGUAACAAGGUUUCCGUAGGUGAACCUGCGGAAGGAUCAUUAUUGAAUAUAACUGGUUGGGUUGCUGCUGGCUUUUAGGAGCAUGUGCACACCUAAUCUGUUUUUAACCACCUGUGCACCUUGUGUAGAUUUGAACAAUUUUCAAGGCAAAAGUACUUGGCUGAAGAAUUGCUGUGUGCACAAGCAUCAGCUUUUCUGGUGUUCAAAUCUAUGUCUUAUCAUUAAAACACCUAGUAUUUGAAUGUAAUUAAUAGGCCAUUGUGCCUUUAAUGUUAAUACAACUUUCAACAACGGAUCUCUUGGCUCUCGCAUCGAUGAAGAACGCAGC
rnacentral:misc_RNA from 1 species